AGCUGUGAGCAGUGGCAGUAUUGUAGCCAGUGAGAUUUAUCCAAUGUAUAAUUAUUGCUAAUUGAAAACUUUUUCGAAUACCCUACUAUGAUGACUUGAAAUAUAUGCAGCAUUGGCAUUUUUUUUUAUUGAAUGGUA
rfam:Otolemur garnettii contig187879, whole genome shotgun sequence.